GAGGGUAUAGCUCAGUGGUAGAGUGAGUGCUUGGCAUGUAUGAGGUCCUGGGUUCAAUCCCCAGUACUCCCA
rnacentral:tRNA from 1 species